rnacentral:rRNA from 1 species
UACAGAGGGGGCAAGCGUUAUUCGGAAUUAUUGGGCGUAAAGGGCGCGUAGGCGGCCAUUCAAGUGACGGGUGAAAGCCCUCGGCUUAACCGAGGAACUGCCUGUCAGACUGGAUGGCUUGAGACCGGGAGAGGUGAGUGGAAUUCCCAGUGUAGCGGUGAAAUGCGUAGAUAUUGGGAGGAACACCAGUGGCGAAGGCGGGUCUCUGGGCCGUAACUGACGCUGAGGAGCGAAAGCAUGGGGAGCGAACAGG